CUCUGUGUAACUAACUUGGUUAUUGGUGUCCUGGAAUCUUCUGUUCCCGCCUGGAUGAGGAAAACAAUGUGUUCUACUAACAGGCAAAUUGGUUUGGCUUUCUUGCCGCAGAGUGUUGCUUACCUCCUAUGCUCAAUCCUCUGUGGAUUCCUGGGACAAAAAUUGGGGAGGUGUCGCUGCAGCCUUCUAGGAAUGGUCCUACUGGGAAUCAGCCUGAUGUGUGUG